GAUAAACUUCUGAUCCCUGCACAUGACCUAAGGCUGUAGCUCAAGAGUAGAGGGGCACGGGUAGAGAUAUGAAAGCCCAGGAAAAGGGAUGGGAUACAUUGGGUGUUUUUUAAAACAGUGUUUAAAGGUUUCCCCUCUCCUUUUAGAGUAAAAUAUUUGAAAUUGGGAAACUUUUUUUAAAAAAAAUUCCAGAAUGAAUGGAGUUUUUUUCUUCAGAGUUAUGAUUCAAACUAACAUUGUUACAGCCAAUUGCAAAGUCAUUGACCCAUGAUUCAAAGGCAGUAAUGUGAAUCUAGCUGGUGACCUUGAGGUGUAAACUUUCUGUCCUGAGAAUGGACGUCCAAAUCUGAAUUCUGGGGUCACCUAGAAAUCUUGGAAACCAAUGUACAUUACAUUGACUAAAGGCUGCAAUGUUUUGCUUCAACGUAGUCUUAUCUGUAUGCCCUUAUCUGCUGAUUAACUCUCUGCAGACAAAUUGAUUCCUAGAGCCAUCUAGAAAAGUUGACAGCAAUGAGGAAUUCAACUGUGUGUGUCUUACAUGCGGAAAUCGGGGUUCCAAAAUCCUGUCCUCUGUACUGCCAUUUCACGUGUGUGUGAAUUUGAAAAAGCCUCUUGAAAUCUCAUUGCAAAACCCAACAAGUAUUUUCAACAACUUCAAAGAAAUCUGGAUGAACAAUGUUUAACCCCAAUGUAGUUUUGUACUGAGUACUUCUGUGUAUACUGAACUUUAAAAAAAAUCUGCUUACCUCAGAAGGAGCUAAGAGUCUAAAUAAAUGAACAGUGAAUUGAAAAACCACCAAAAUCUUAUGCUGAAAAAGGCCAGGAUAGCGUGUAAGAUUAUUAUCAUGAUGAC